rnacentral:rRNA from 1 species
AGUGAACGCUGGCGGCGUGCCUAAUACAUGCAAGUCGAACGCGAAAGUCCUUCGGGAUGAGUAAAGUGGCGCACGGGUGAGUAAUACAUGAGAACAUGCCCUUAAAUGGGGAAUAACGUUUGGAAACGAACGCUAAUACCGCAUAAUCUCGAGAGAGUAAAGGUGGCGCCGCAAGGGCUACCGUUUAAGGAUUGGCUCAUGUCCCAUUAGCUAGUUGGCAGGGUAAUGGCCUACCAAGGCAACGAUGGGUAACUGGUCUGAGAGGAUGAUCAGUCACACUGGAACUGAGACACGGUCCAGACUCCUACGGGUGGCUG